rnacentral:misc_RNA from 1 species
GAUGAAGAACGUAGCGAAAUGCGAUAAGUAGUGUGAAUUGCAGAAUUCAGUGAAUCAUCGAAUCUUUGAACGCACAUUGCGCCCUUUGGUAUUCCUUAGGGUAUGCCUGUUCGAGCGUCAUCUAAACCUUCAAGCCCUGCUUGGUGUUGGGUGCCUGUCCCGCCUCUGCGCGUGGACUCACCUCAAAUCCAUUGGCGGCCCCCGCGUCGGCCACGAGCGCAGCAGAAACGCGAACUCGUGAGCCCGUCCGGGCGGCUCCCAGAAGCUAACCCCCAAUUUUUGACCUCGGAUCAGGUAGGGAUACCCGCUGAGCUUAAGCAUAUCAAUAAGCGGAGGA